rnacentral:rRNA from 1 species
GACGAACGCUGGCGGCGUGCCUAAUACAUGCAAGUCGAACGCAGUGGGGACGGGUGAGUAACACGUGGGUAACCUCACAUCAGAGGGGAGAACACUUGGAAACAGGUGCUAAAACCGAUACUGAUGGAUGGACUCGCGGUGCAUUAGCUAGUUGGUGAGGUAACGGCCUACCAAGGCCACGAGGCAUAGCUGACCUGAGAGGAGGAUCAGCCACACUGGAACUUAGACACGGCCCAGACUCCUACGGGAGGCAGCAGUAGGGAAUCUUCUGCAAUGGACGAAAGUCUGAUCGAGCAACGCCGCGUGAGUGAAGAAGGUUUUCGGAUCGUAAAGCUCUGUUGUUAGAGAAGCGGUAUCUAACCAGAAAGCCACGGCUAACUCCGUGCCAGUAGCCGCGGUAAUUC